CUUGUACGUAUUGAACCAAUCACAAGUCCUAUUGAAAAUAUUAUUUCAAUUUACGAGAAGGCCAUUCUGGCAGGGGCUCAGCCUAUUGAAGAGAUGUGACAUAUAAUCAUAGAUAUUCUAACAACGAAGAAUCAAGAAAAAGCCAAUUUGGGAGAAAAUAUUGAGGAGGCUCAUGCAACCAAGGAACAUAUCCAAGAAGUAGAUGUUGAAACUAAUCUCGGGUCAGGAAAACCAGAAGAGGAGAAUGAACAUCAUAGAAAAGUUGAGGUUUACGAAGACAAUCAGGACAGCGAAACAGAAGAUCCAACCAAUGAUCUAACAACCCCAGACUCAAAAGCCGAGGCAGGUUGCCUGAUUCGAUAUAAUGUAUCUUCUACACCUCCCUUGCAAAGUAUGAAAAAG
rnacentral:lncRNA from 1 species